GUGAAGUCCCUGAGAUGAAAGGGGGUUUGAUCACACCUGCACUGAUCCAGCACUGCAAUUUUGUAUGGUAGCUGAAGUCAUGUCAUUAAUGUGACCACAGGAGAUGAGCCGUGUGCUGAUGAUGACCUAAGUGUUCUCUUUGCAUCAAACUGCUUUUGUACAAAUUCAUUGGACGCCAUUAAUCAUCAUAAAGGAAUAUAAUGGGAUCCUGAACACUGAUACUUAUAGAGGAGUCCUUUUGCUGUAGCAGACUCGUGUGAAAAUGUGCAUAUACAUGUUUGGAAGAGGAUGGAAAAUGCUGAUUCUCAGAGCUUCUGCUUAGAGAUGAUGUCCACCAAUCCUACUUAAAUAGCAAACAAAGGGUUUUUGUUGCUCUUGCAGUGAAGUAUUUUGAGAGUGUAUGAACAGUCCAUGAACAAGAAGUGACUGAACACAUGAAUUCUAUUCCCUGCCUCAUUUAGUAGUUUUUCUACAACUGAGCAAAUCGUGAGAGAAGACAAGCCCCCUGCAUGCAUAUGUUCUAAAUCAAUGUAGCUUACCAGAUGUGAAGGUUUCAACCCUACUGGUGGUUUAGGCCAGAUGCAUCAGGUUUGUGGAGCGUAACUGAACUAUUGGACGCGUCAGAAACACAAAACAGUUUCUGUCACCUCAAAGGAAGCCAGACAUAAUCAGAACUUUUACUGUCAAAACCACUCAGUCAUGUUUGCUCCAUCACUUCUCUAUGACAACAAUUCUGAUAAUAAUACUUAAUGUAAAUAAAUAGCAUAGUCCUUUC